UACGUAGGUGGCAAGCGUUGUCCGGAAUUAUUGGGCGUAAAGGGUGCGUAGGCGGGAGCCUGAGUCUGUGGUGAAAUCUUGCCGCUUAACGGUAAAAUGGCCAUGGAUACUGGGUUUCUUGAGUACAGAAGAGGUCGGUGGAAUUCGUAGUGUAGCGGUGAAAUGCAUAGAUAUUACGAAGAACACCAGUGGGGAAGGCGGCCGGCUGGACUGUAACUGACGCUGAGGCACGAAAGCGUGGGGAGCGAACAGG
rnacentral:misc_RNA from 1 species